rnacentral:rRNA from 1 species
UUUGGCCGAACCACCCUGAACAUGCCCGAUCUUGUCUGAUCUCGGAAGCUUAGCAAGGUUGGGCCUGGUUGGUACUUGGAUGGGAGAAAUAAAGAAGCAAAU